rnacentral:rRNA from 1 species
GAACGCGAAGAACCUUACCCACCUUUGACAUGGCAGGAAGUUUCCAGAGAUGGAUUCGUGCCCGAAAGGGAACCUGCACACAGGUGCUGCAUGGCUGUCGUCAGCUCGUGUCGUGAGAUGUUGGGUUAAGUCCCGCAACGAGCGCAACCCUUGCCAUUAGUUGCUACGAAAGGGCACUCUAAUGGGACUGCCGGUGACAAACCGGAGGAAGGUGGGGAUGACGUCAAGUCCUCAUGGCCCUUAUAGGUGGGGCUACACACGUCAUACAAUGGCUGGUACAGAGGGUUGCCAACCCGCGAGGGGGAGCUAAUCCCAUAAAGCCAGUCGUAGUCCGGAUCGCAGUCUGCAACUCGACUGCGUGAAGUCGGAAUCGCUAGUAAUCGCGGAUCAGAAUGUCGCGGUGAAUACGUUCCCGGGUCUUGUACACACC